UCACAAUGAUGAAUGUUUUACACAACCAUUCGCAGUUUACUCCAGAAGGGUCUUUCCCUUAUGUUGGCGGAAUCUUCCUUGGAUGUCUGAGUGA
rnacentral:snoRNA from 1 species